AGAGUUUGAUCAUGGCUCAGAACGAACGCUGGCGGCGCGCCUAAUACAUGCAAGUCGAGCGAGAAGGUGUAGCAAUACACUUGUAAAGCGGCGAACGGGUGAGGAAUACAUGGGUAAUCUACCAUCGAGUGGGGAAUAACCAACCGAAAGGUUGGCUAAUACCGCGUACGCCUCCGAGUCUUCGGGUUCGGAGGGAAAGCUGCACUGUGAGUGUAGCGCUCUUUGAUGAGCUCAUGUCCUAUCAGCCUGUUGGUAGGGUAACGGCCUACCAAGGCUUUGACGGGUAGCUGGUCUGAGAGGACGAUCAGCCACACUGGCACUGCGACACGGGCCAGACUCCUACGGGAGGCAGCAGUAAGGAAUAUUGCGCAAUGGGCGAAAGCCUGACGCAGCGACGCCGCGUGGGGGAUGAAGGUCUUCGGAUUGUAAACCCCUUUCGGGAGGGAAGAUGGAGCGAGCAAUCGUUCGGACGGUACCUCCAGAAGCAGCCACGGCCAACUUCGUGCCAGCAGCCGCGGUAAUACGAAGGUGGCAAGCGUUGUUCGGAUUCACUGGGCGUACAGGGUGUGUAGGCGGUUUGGUAAGCCUUCUGUUAAAGCUUCGGGCCCAACCCGGAAAGCGCAGAGGGUACUGCCAGGCUAGAGGGUGGGAGAGGAGCGCGGAAUUCCCGGUGUAGCGGUGAAAUGCGUAGAGAUCGGGAGGAAGGCCGGUGGCGAAGGCGGCGCUCUGGAACAUACCUGACGCUGAGACACGAAAGCGUGGGGAGCAAACAGGAUUAGAUACCCUGGUAGUCCACGCCC
rnacentral:rRNA from 1 species